UUGCCUACCUCGGGGUGCCUUUGAAACAAGGCUGAGACGCACAAUGCGGACCCGUAGAACCUGAUCCGGUUAAGACCGGCGGAGGGAAGGUUGGGAUCUGGUUU
rnacentral:ncRNA from 2 species